rnacentral:rRNA from 1 species
ACUACAUGAAGCUGGAAUCGCUAGUAAUCGCGAAUCAGAAUGUCGCGGUGAAUACGUUCCCGGGUCUUGUACACACCGCCCGUCACACCAUGGGAGUCGGAAAUGCCCGAAGUCAGUGACCCAACCGUAAGGAGGGAGCCGCCGAAGGUGGAGCCGGUAACUGGGGUGAAGUCGUAACAAGGUAUC